UACGUAGGGGGCUAGCGUUGUCCGGAAUCAUUGGGCGUAAAGCGCGUGUAGGCGGUCCGGUAAGUCCGCUGUGAAAGUCGGGGGCUCAACCCUCGAAUGCCGGUGGAUACUGUCGGGCUAGAGUGCGGAAGAGGCGAGUGGAAUUCCUGGUGCAGCGGUGAAAUGCGCAGAUAUCAGGAGGAACACCAAUUGCGAAGGCAGCUCGCUGGGACGUAACUGACGCUGAGACGCGAAAGCGUGGGGAGCAAACAGG
rnacentral:rRNA from 1 species